CCCUUCUUUUUCUCCGAAAUCUUUUUCUUGUUGUUAUGGUUGUAUUUUCUUCAAAAGAUAAAUUUGGCUUUCUCAAAACUCGUUGUUUGUGCGCUCAAUGAGAGUUGUGUGUAGCUUGAGUUGCUAGAAUGAUAAUGCAUGCAAUGUUUAUGUCUUUUUUUUUCCUUUUUUAUGUUGAGUCUUGAAUGUUUAUUUACUGAGUUGAUUGCAUGUUAGUGAUUUGGUAUUUCUAGAGUCGUUUUAAACCUUCUAAGUCAAUAUUGGAUGUUUCUUUAUGAUUUUGAAUUGUUGUAUAUGGGUUUAAUCACGUUUUGGUGGCUAUUGGCUGAGCCUGCAUUGCAGAAAAACACAGAUUCGGCUACCAAAUCUGUCUGUGAAGAUUGCCUUUUGGCCGUUUAACCUGCCUCCAAAGGUUUGGCCUUCGGAUCUGUAAGGGGACUUUAGGCUGUCGAAUUUGCCACUGAAAGUCCCAUGUCUAACCGUGUGCAGCCACAUGUUUUCUUAUAU
rnacentral:lncRNA from 1 species